rnacentral:rRNA from 1 species
AAACUUGAGAGUUUGAUCAUGGCUCAGAACGUACGCUGGCGGCACGCCUAACACAUGCAAGUCGAACGAAGUAGCAAUACUUAGUGGCAGACGGGUGAGUAACAUGUGGGUAUCUGCCCUUUGGCCUGGAAUAACACGAGGAAACUUGUGCUAAUACCGGAUAAGUCUUUACAGAGAAAGCUUUAUGCACCAUUGGAUGAGCCCGCACUUGAUUAGUUUGUUGGUAGGGUAAUGGCCUACCAAGACUGUGAUCAAUAGCUGAUUUGAGAGGAUGAUCAGCCACAUUGGGACUGAGACACGGCCCAAACUCCUACGGGAGGCAGCAGUGGGGAAUCUUGCACAAUGGAGGAAACUCUGAUGCAGCGAUGCCGCGUGAGUGAAGAAGGCCUUUGGGUUGUAAAGCUCUUUCGUCGGGGAAGAAAAUGACUGUACCCGAAUAAGAAGGUCCGGCUAACUUCGUGCCAGCAGCCGCGGUAAUACGAAGGGACCUAGCGUAGUUCGGAAUUACUGGGCUUAAAGAGUUCGUAGGUGGUUGAAAAAGUUGGUGGUGAAAUCCCAGAGCUUAACUCUGGAACUGCCAUCAAAACUUUUCAGCUAGAGUUUGAUAGAGGAAAGCAGAAUUUCUAGUGUAGAGGUGAAAUUCGUAGAUAUUAGAAAGAAUACCAAUUGCGAAGGCAGCUUUCUGGAUCAUUACUGACACUGAGGAACGAAAGCAUGGGUAGCGAAGAGGAUUAGAUACCCUCGUAGUCCAUGCCGUAAACGAUGUGUGUUAGACGUUGGAAAUUUAUUUUCAGUGUCGCAGCGAAAGCGAUAAACACACCGCCUGGGGAGUACGACCGCAAGGUUAAAACUCAAAUGAAUUGACGGGGACCCGCACAAGUAGUGGAGCAUGUGGUUUAAUUCGAAGAUACGCGCAGAACCUUACCAACACUUGACAUGUUCGUCGCGACUUUAAGAGAUUAAAGUUUUCGGUUCGGCCGGACGAAACACAGGUGCUGCAUGGCUGUCGUCAGCUCGUGUCGUGAGAUGUUGGGUUAAGUCCCGCAACGAGCGCAACCCUCACUUUUAGUUGCCAUCAUUAAGUUGGGCACUCUGAAAGAACUGCCAGUGAUAAGCUGGAGGAAGGUGGGGAUGACGUCAAGUCCUCAUGGCCCUUACGUGUUGGGCUACACACGUGCUACAAUGGUAUCUACAACAGGAAGCAAAACAGCGAUGUUAAGCAAAUCCUUAAAAGAUACCUCAGUUCGGAUUGCACUCUGCAACUCGAGUGCAUGAAGCUGGAAUUACUAGUAAUCGUGGAUCAGCGUGCCACGGUGAAUGCGUUCCCGGGUCUUGUACACACCGCCCGUCACACCAUGGGAGUUGGUUCUACCUUAAGGCAAGGUUUUAAACCCUUGACCACGGUAUAGUCAGCGACUGGGGUGAAGUCGUAACAAGGUAGCCGUAGGGGAACCUGCGGCUGGAUUACCUCCUUU